GAUGAACGCUGGCGGCGUGCCUAACACAUGCAAGUCGAGCGAUCUUCUUCGGAAGAGAGCGGCGGACGGGUGAGUAACGCGUGGGUAACCUGCCCUGUACACACGGAUAACAUACCGAAAGGUAUGCUAAUACGAGAUAAUAUGCUUUUAUCGCAUGGUAGAAGUAUCAAAGCUCCGGCGGUACAGGAUGGACCCGCGUCUGAUUAGCUAGUUGGUAAGGUAAUGGCUUACCAAGGCGGCGAUCAGUAGCCGACCUGAGAGGGUGAUUGGCCACAUUGGAACUGAGACACGGUCCAAACUCCGACGGGAGGCAGCAGUGGGGAAUAUUGCACAAUGGGCGAAAGCCUGAUGCAGCAACGCCGCGUGAGCGAUGAAGGCCUUCGGGUCGUAAAGCUCUGUCCUCAAGGAAGAUAAUGACGGUACUUGAGGAGGAAGCCCCGGCUAACUACGUGCCAGCCGCCGCGGUAA
rnacentral:rRNA from 1 species